CUCCCUCACUUUUCGAGCCAAGAAAUUAUUACAAUACAUCCGGCUAAGGCACGUCCAUUAAUAUAUGUCUAUGGAUUAAAGAUUCUAGCUUUUUCAUCUACGCUCUAUAGGGUUUUCCUUCAUAGUUACAUAUCCGCAGGAUAAAUUGACAAUUAUUUAUGAAUCUAUGAAUUUUAUAGAUCUUGCUUUGUUCCCUUUGUGUAUCUAUUAUCUAUGUUUGUUCCACGAUGUUGUCCAUCGUGCUAUUUUGUAUUAAAAACGACGCUACGUCGCCAUUUUUAAAAUUUUGCAAUUUUAUUUGCUUUUCGAUUGAUGUUAAUUAAGAAUGAAAGAGUGUUCAUUUUGAUGCAACUGAAAAAGCAAGUUGUCUGCCGUGGAGGAUCUUCUAAUUAAUUGCGGAACAUAAGGAAAAACCCUGGAUGGCUUUAAUUUACAGUGCCUUGGUUGUGUCAGUGUUCAUUCGAUCCAGAAAGCACAAAAGUGCCUUUUUUUCCAUUGGGAACGGAUACAGGGUGGCAUUGCUGAAGGAAGGAUUUAUGACGAAUGAACUGGUAACUUGUAACUUUCUUUAUUUAAUCAGACAACUUUUAAACAUUUUAGAAGUGGCAGAAGCAAAAUGUGGAACUGGCGUUUCCAUCAGUGCAAAAGUUAGCUUUUAACUUUAACACCACAUCGCCUCAUUAAAAUAUUACAGAUUUAUUCGCUUUAAAAGUUGUAAUUAACCACGUUUUCUUGUCCGUUUCUAUAGAUUGUCUAAGUGAGAAGGAAUUACAGCUAGUUUCGAUGGUACUGAAAGAGCUAAAGCUUAUGAUGUCAUACUCUUUCAACAUAAUUUUGAACCUUUGAGGGGGAGGCAUCCGGAAAUUAAUUUGGAAACGACUGAAACAACAAGUUGUCUGGAGUGGUAUUCCUCCUGGAUUUUGCUUGUUCAUUCGACCUUAAAAAGCUACUUUCUGCAGUUAAUUAAGAUUGUCCAACAAAUGAGUUCAGUUUGGCGCUACUCGAACAACCGUCUACAUGGGUGUGGUCUUUUCUGUACUUUGUUCCUGAUUUGAUAUUUUCAUCUUCACUUCGCAACACUAUGCAGUUCAUUUUCGACCGAUUAGUGGGAGCAACUAAGGAUUUAUUUGAUUUCAAAUGGACCAACAAAAUUUCUGCUAUGGUGUUCCUCCUGGGUUUGGUUUGCUCUUCACACCUGCAAACAGUUUCAGUCUGCAGUUAAUUAAGAUCGACGUUGGAGAAGAAAAAGAUGAAAUUAUUUUUUUUU